CGCCCUUAGAGUUUGAUCCUGGCUCAGAUUGAACGCUGGCGGCAGGCCUAACACAUGCAAGUCGAACGGUAAAGCAGCUUGCUGCUUACGAGUGGCGGACGGGUGAGUAAUGUCUGGGAAGCUGCCUGAUGGAGGGGGAUAACUACUGGAAACGGUAGCUAAUACCGCAUAAUGUCGCAAGACCAAAGAGGUUCGUCUUGCCAUCGGAUGUGCCCAGAUGGGAUUAGCUUGUUGGUGGGGUAACGGCUCACCAAGGCGACGAUCCCUAGCUGGUCUGAGAGGAUGACCAGCCACACUGGAACUGAGACACGGUCCAGACUCCUACGGGAGGCAGCAGUGGGGAAUAUUGCACAAUGGGCGCAAGCCUGAUGCAGCCAUGCCGCGUGUAUGAAGAAGGCCUUCGGGUUGUAAAGUACUUUCAGCGGGGAGGAAGGGAGUAAAGUAAUCUUUGCUCUUGACGUUACCCGCAGAAGAAGCACCGGCUAACUCCGUGCCAGCAGCCGCGGUAAUACGGAGGGUGCAAGCGUUAAUCGGAAUUACUGGGCGUAAAGCGCACGCAGGCGGUUUGUUAAGUCAGAUGUGAAAUCCCCGGGCUCAACCUGGGAACUGCAUCUGAUACUGGCAAGCUUGAGUCUCGUAGAGGGGGGUAGAAUUCUAGGUGUAGCGGUGAAAUGCGUAGAGAUCUGGAGGAAUAUCUGUGGCGAAGGCGGCUCCCUGGACGAGACUGACGCUCAGGUGCGAAAGCGUGGGGAGCAAACAGGAUUAGAUACUCUGGUAGUC
rnacentral:rRNA from 1 species